rnacentral:rRNA from 1 species
GGAAUUUUCGCAAUGGGCGAAAGCCUGACGGAGCAACGCCGCGUGAGGGAUGAAGGCCUCUGGGCUGUAAACCUCUUUUAUCAAGGAAGAAGAUCUGACGGUACUUGAUGAAUAAGCCACGGCUAAUUCCGUGCCAGCAGCCGCGGUAAUACGGGAGUGGCAAGCGUUAUCCGGAAUUAUUGGGCGUAAAGCGUCCGCAGGCGGUCUGUCAAGUCUGCUGUUAAAGCGUGGAGCUUAACUCCAUUUCGGCAGUGGAAACUGACAGACUAGAGUGUGGUAGGGGCAGAGGGAAUUCCCGGUGUAGCGGUGAAAUGCGUAGAUAUCGGGAAGAACACCAGUGGCGAAGGCGCUCUGCUGGGCCAUAACUGACGCUCAUGGACGAAAGCCAGGGGAGCGAAAGGGAUUAGAUACCCCAGUAGUC